UGGGGAAUAUUGGACAAUGGGCGCAAGCCUGAUCCAGCCAUGCCGCGUGAGUGAUGAAGGCCCUAGGGUUGUAAAGCUCUUUCACCGGUGAAGAUAAUGACGGUAACCGGAGAAGAAGCCCCGGCUAACUUCGUGCC
rnacentral:rRNA from 1 species